GGGUAGGUUUGCUCCUGCGCCGGCUGGGGUCAGCUCCACCUUGGCGUCUCUGCUGCUGAGUCAUCGAAACAGGAUGGUAGCAGGUUCCCUGGAGCCGGCAUCACCCCAUGCCAUCGUCGGAAAGAGCUCAGCAACUCUGCUAAUAGCUCAGUGUGAGCAGUCUGGCUGUGGUUCAGAGCACAUUUUUGAGUCCGGCAGAGCUCCCUUUCUUGCUGCUAUCUGACCUCAGAUGGAGUUCAGCACUCUGGACGAGGCCCUUGCCAGACUGUGAGAUUUUCUGGAAGUGCCUCGGAGCUCGGCUUCUCCGACCCACCCGUGACGAGAGGUCCUUGGUUAGCCGGG